UUGCUUUGUGUGCUAAAGUCAACAGUCGCUCGGUUUGAGCUCAAAUAAAUGCGGAGAUGCCUCGGCUCUGAGCAGUCGGCCGCCUCCCUCCGCGCGCUGGACGCUCUGCCGCCCGCCCGCCGCACCGCAGGCCAGAAGCCCACCUGCGGGAAGUACAAAGUUUCAAUGCUGUUUUGUUUUUUUUUCACACUGACAAAACUCACAGGAAAAAAAAAAAACCUUCUGUAUAUUUUUCCUGCUGGGUGGUCAGAAGGAAAGGCCACGAAGCCAAAGGCCUCCCAUUGAGACAGUGCUCUGCGGAGAGUCGACCUCACGUGCCGCCGCUGCAGGAGAUGAGAGCACCUGUCGGGGGUCUCCGCCACUCCUUGGACGUGAAAACUCUUCUUUCCAAGGGCACUUGUUGAGAUCUGCCCAUCGCCGAAGGUCAACCUUGAACACCACCACAUCCUGACAACUGUGCAGGAUGCAUCUUUUUUUUUUUUUUUGAAGAUGACAGUGACACAAAAGUCAAGAAGGACGACCCAACCCAUAUCAACCUUUGUAAGUGUGAUAACUAAGCAUUUAGUGUGUUAAUCCUCUGAGAUUUGGUGAUUGCUACAAGAAUUUUAUCCAUAUCCUCAAACUUCAUCUGAGCCACUAGAUUCUUCUUCCUGUCUCAUCAGCACAUCUAUCAGGACUACACACCUAUGAUGAAAGCAAGGAACUGGGGUUAGUUUCUUCUUCUUUAUUGUUAUGUGUGCACCUCCCCCCACUCCAAGUUGUAGUGUGCAGUAAAAUGACUGGGAAGGAGAAGAAGGAGGUCAUGGGACUGCCUAAAUCAUUGAGCAGCAGGAUCACUGACUGUGUCCAAAAAGGUCUAAGCCAAGCCAAACAGUGGAAAAGGUGAAAUGUUAACAUGAAUGCAGUAAAUAUUCAGUCCUUCUUUGGGGGGAAAAAGGAGAGUGUUGUGUUGGAAAUGACUGGCAGGUGGAUGUCUGCAGGGGCCUCCCACAUCACGGAAGACUGUCUGGAGAAGAAGGUGUGCCUGACAUCCUUCCCAAUAAAAAGCCUGGGAAAAACAUCUGUCAAGUGAUAUUUGGAACUGACAUUUUCAUAAGGACCCAGUCUAUAGAGGGUUUUUGCAGGGCUUGGAAAACCACAUUUUUCAUUCUUCCUUCUCCCCAUCUCCUGUAAUUAAAUGAUGCUUACAGUGUUAAAUGUAUAUUUAAAAUGACAUGCUUUGAGGACUACAUUUUAGGAAACUUUCUAUUUGGAAAUAAUUUUGACAAUAAUAAUGAUCAUUUCAAAAAGUAAUAUUUAUUUCCUGAACCUUUUGAGAGUAAGGUAGGUGCACACAUCAUGGCUUUUUACUCCUAAAUAUUUCCUAUUUCCUCCUAAAUGUAUCCCAAACUGGGGUCUUAGACACAGAGCGAGGCCGAAUAUCUGGCACUAAGCUUUGGGAAAUGGAAGCCCAGGUUCUGCCUUUAUUCUCCAGCAUUUAGGAUAUUCCUGAAGAGGAAUGUUGGCUGAAAGAUUCCCACAUAGAAGGACAUAGGGAGACGUCUGCUCUCUUGCCAUGGGUGCUGCCCUGUCUAAUAUUUUCAUGUUCUGAUUGGAUGAAGAAACAGAAGGGAUGUUUACCCCCUCCACUCCCCCCCCGCCCCACCACCUUCAGGGAUACUGAUUGGGAACGGGUGGCUAACAUAGUCUCUGGGUCAGAAAAGAUCUUCAUAGACUGGACCUUUACCAGAUUAAAUAUAAAGUGUACAUUAUAGGGGAACCUGAGUGGCUCAGUCAGUUAAGUGUCUGCCUUCCACUCAGGUCAUGAUCUUGGAGUCCUGGGAUCGAACCCCAGCUGGGCUCCUUGCUCAGUAAGGAGUCUGCUUCUCCCUCUCCCUCUCUGCUCUCUCUCUCUAGCUCUCUCUCAAGUAAAUAAAUAAAAUCUUAAAAAAAAUAAAGUGUACAUUGUAUAAGCACAAAAUUACUACUGUAUUAUUUCCUAGGUUCUAAGAGACUUUUCUCUAUCUUUUAUUGUUUUUGAACUUUAGAUGCCCCCUAAAAUCUAUGUCAAAGGCAACUAGCUGUAAUAGUAAAGGGAGUUGUAAGUAGAAAACCUACCUGUCUGUAUGCAGAUGAAGGUCCAACUAAUUGCCAUCUGGUUUUCUCCACCAUUGGUGGAAUAAAUUUUCUUUGAGGUAUAAUUAUGUACACUAAAGUGUUUCCUUCUUAUUAUACAGUUCCAGGAGUUUUAACAAAUAUACAUAGUCAUAUAACUGAUACCAAAAUCAAUGUACAGAACAGUUUUAUCCCCAAAAGCUUCCCCUGUAGUCAAACCUUUGUAGUCACACCUCCCCCCAGCAACUUGUUUUGUAUCCAUAUAGUUUUGUCUUUGCCAGAAUGCCAUAUAAAUGUAAAAUGUAAAUACUUAAUUAUAUUUUAUUUAGAAUUUCUGAGUCUGGAUUCUUUUGGAGAUGCAUUUGAAAUAAACCCAUG